AAGAGGCCGAAGAAGAGAGAAAUGAAAGAGGAAGGAGGGAGAAAAAAAAAAUAAUAAUGUGCCAUGUCGUCGUCUACAUGGUAUGCCACGUAGGCAAGACCAUGGUCAAAUAGAACUUUAGACCGGGAUGAUAUAAUAAACUGAGUUUAGAGAUCUCGAUACACACUUUGCAAGUUUGUGAACCUAAAUGAAACCUGCCUACAAGUUUAAGGACCGCUAGUACAAUUUACUCUUAAUUAUAUAACUGAGAUGGUACCCGUGUUGCUACUGGAUAAAGGAGUUGUGACAUGCACUUUUUUUAAGUUAAGUAGAUGAAUGUACAAUUGUGGUGUAUAUAACUAUAUAUAUAGAGAAAGAGAGUAUCAGUUGUAACAUAUGUGUGAGAAAAAUAUCAAGACACAUAAUUAGAGGCUAGCAUAGCAAGCUUCGGAAAAUAUGUAAUGGAGAAAAAUAGUCCAAUUUAACUUGAUAGAUCAAAUUUGAUUUAUACUUCUCAACCGUAAAGCCUAGUAUAUCGACUCCUCUAACUACUAAAAUAAUGUAAAAUGACUUUCUUAGCAGUACUGACAAUGGAUUUUGCUGAUGUGUUGUCCACGUAAUUAACAGCCCAAUCAUAAAAGAAAUUUAAAAAAUAGGCAUCAGGCCAAGGUGUAAUAGACUUUCCUCUCUCCGCUUGUCUCAUCUUUUUCCUCCGGAGGCGGUCCCCUCUCUCUUUCUCUUGGCGGAUGCAGAAAGAAACCAUAGGUCAUAGCUUGAGCUGGGCUAGCUUGAACAUUAGCGUGCUGUCAUGUUAAGGUGUGCCAGCUUGCCGUCCUUCACCUCCACCACCAGGCAUCGUCUAUCUUCUCCUCGUCCAAGGCCUCUUUUCCUAGGCUCAGCACUUACCAUGCGCGGUGAGGUGAUGAUUGCGCUUAGAUCCUCGUGAGCCUGACGGAUACAGAUCGAUGACGAGGUUGUUGGCUUGGAUGGGGUUGGCGUCGGCUGCUCAAGCAUUAGCGACACGCACGACUCGACAAGGGGAUGGCGCCUGACCGCUCCGCUUCGCCAUGCUCCCCAAACCGCUCGUGCCACGCUAUCCCCACCAUGGCGGCGAGCUCGAACAAGGGGAAGGAGGGCUGCAACACCCUCGCACACGUCGUGGUCAAGGAAGGGGCCUACUCACCGUCGUGCUGGCGAUGUUGCGCGAAGGAGCAUGACGUUCAUGGCUCCUACCAUCAUCUCCAGCUCCUCUUUUCGUCGUCCGGACGCCCAUUCGUCUCGCUGGUCGCCACCUCAAGGCUCUUGACCACAGUGAGAGAUUGGGAAGAGGUAAAGAGAGAUAAGGGAGGGAGGAGAGAGAGGGAAGAAUAGAGGAAAAAGAAAUGAUCACUACCAUGUAGAUCCCACAUAUAGUUUUUUAAGGGUUAAUUCGAUUCAUGCCAUUGUAAAUAUGCUAUUUCAGAUAAAUGUCAUUACAAUUCAUCUA